rnacentral:tRNA from 1 species
ACCUGCGUGCGGCGGGUGACGGGCCUACCGCCCUCCGGAGGCGGGUGCGCAGGUUCGAAUCCUGCCGGGGGCAC